CGGUUGAUCCUGCCGGAGGUUACUGCUCUGGGAGUCAGAUUAAGCCAUGCUAGCGGAGGGCAGUUCGGCUGCCCCGCGAAUAGCUCAGUAACACGUGGUCAAUCUACCCUUGGGAUUGGGAUAACCCCGGGAAACUGGGGAUAAUCCUGAAUAGGCGGGGGUUCUGGAAAUGUCCCUCGCUGAAACGCUACGGCGCCUAAGGAUGAGACUGCGGCCGAUUAGGUAGUUGGUGAGGUAAAGGCUCACCAAGCCGAAGAUGGGUACGGGCCCUGAGAGGGGGAGCCCGGAGAUGGAGACUGAGACAAGGCUCCAGGCCCUACGGGGCGCAGCAGGUGCGGAAAUUCUGCAAUGCGUGCAAGCGCGACAGAGUGACUCCCAGUGCCGAUGGUCUAACGACCGUCGGCUUUUCUGGAAUGUAAAAAGUUCCGGGUAAUAAGGGCCGGGUAAGACUGGUGCCAGCCGCCGCGGUAACACCAGCGGCUCGAGUGGUAACCGAUUUUAUUGGGCCUAAAGCGUCCGUAGCCGGACCGACGGGUCCCUUGUGAAAUCGGACGGCUUAACCGUUCGGCUUGCAGGGGAAACUGUUGGUCUUGAGGCUGGUAGGCGCCGAGGGUACUCCGGGGGUAGCAGUGAAAUGCUAUAAUCCUUGGGGGACCGCCAGUGGCGAGAGCGCUCGGCGAGGCCAGACCUGACGGUGAGGGACGAAGGCCAGGGUAGCGAACCGGAUUAGAUACCCGGGUAGUCCUGGCUGUAAAGGAUGUGAGUUAGGUGCUAGGCGCUCCUCGAGAGCGUCCGGUGCCGAAGGGAAGCCAUUAAGCUCACCGCCUGGGAAGUACAGUCGCAAGACUGAAACUUAAAGGAAUUGGCGGGGGAGCAC
rnacentral:rRNA from 2 species